rnacentral:rRNA from 1 species
GCGGUAAUUCCAGCUCCAAUAGCGUAUAUUAAAGUUGUUGCAGUUAAAAAGCUCGUAGUUGAAAUAUUGAUGUGGUCAACCGGUCUCGCGCUUUGUCGUGAUGGCUUGUGUUGUGCCAUAUCAUUCUUGGUGAUAGCCUGUCUGGCAUUAAGUUGUUAGGCUUGGCAAAAACCAUCGUUUACUGUGAAAAAAUUAGAGUGUUCAAAGCAGACUUGUGUCAAUGAAUACAUUAGCAUGGAAUAAUAAUAUAGGGCUUUUGCACUAUUUUGUUGGUUAGGUACGAAAGUAAUGAUCAACAGGGACAGUUGGGCAUAUUCGUAUUUCGAUGCUAGAGGUGAAAUUCUUGGAUUUUCGAAAGACGAACUACUGCGAAAGCAUUUAUGAAGGAUGUUUUCAUUAAUCAAGAGCGAAAGUUAGGGGAUCGAAGAUGAUUAGAUACCAUCGUAGUCUUAACCAUAAACUAUGCCGACUCGGGAUUGGGCGACGUUUUUUGACUCGUCCAGCACCGUGUGGGAAACCAUUAGUCUUUGGGUUCCGGGGGGAGUAUGGUCGCAAGACUGAAACUUAAAGAAAUUGACGGAAGGGCACCACCAGGAGUGGAGCCUGCGGCUUAAUUUGACUCAACACGGGAAAACUCACCAGGUCCAGACAUAAUGAGGAUUGACAGAUUGAGAGCUCUUUCUUGAUUUUAUGGGUGGUGGUGCAUGGCCGUUCUUAGUUGGUGGAGUGAUUUGUCUGGUUAAUUCCGUCAACGGACGAGACCGCUGCCUGCUAAAUAGUUCUGUGAAUCAUUCUUGAUUGACGUGAACUUCUUAGAGGGACGUCCAUUCUACAAGAUGGAGGAAGAUAGCGGCAAUAACAGGUCUGUGAUGCCCUUAGAUGUCCUGGGCCGCACGCGCGCUACACUGAUGCAUUCAACAAGCAUACAACCUUGGCCGAGAGGCCUGGGUAAUCUUUUUAAUGUGCAUCGUGAUAGGGAUAGAUUAUUGCAAUUAUUAAUCUUGAACGAGGAAUUCCUAGUAAACGUAUAUCGUCAAUAUACAUUGAUUACGUCCCUGCCCUUUGUACACA